rnacentral:rRNA from 1 species
GAAGUCUGCAACUCGACUUCAUGAAGCCGGAAUCGCUAGUAAUGGCGCAUCAGCUACGGCGCCGUGAAUACGUUCCCGGGCCUUGUACACACCGCCCGUCACAUCAUGGAAGUCGCUUGUAGCCGAAGUCGGCGUGCUAACCGCAAGGAGGCAGCCGCCUACGCUAUGAGCGGUAACUGGGAUGAAGUCGUAACAAGGUAGCCGUAGGGGAACCUGCGGCUGGAUCACCUCCUUUCUAAGGA